CCUACGGGAGGCAGCAGUGGGGAAUAUUGCACAAUGGGGGAAACCCUGAUGCAGCGACGCCGCGUGAGUGAAGAAGCGCCUCGGCGCGUAAAGCUCUGUCAGCAGGAACGACGAUGACGGUACCUGAAGAAGAAGCCCCGGCUAACUACGUGCCAGCAGCCGCGGUAAUACGUAGGGGGCAAGGGUUUACCGGAUUUACUGGGUGUAAAGGGAGCGGAGACGGCGGGGGAAGUCUGGAGUGAAAGGCCGGGGCCCAAACCCGGGACCGCUCUGGAAACUGCCCGGCUGGAGUGCGGGAGAGGUAUGCGGAAUUCCUGGUGUAGCGGUGAAAUGCGUAGAUAUUAGGAGGAACCCCAGCGGCGAAGGCGGCUUACUGGAGCGUGACUGACGCUGAGGCACGAAAGCGUGGGGAGCGAACAGGAUUAGAUACCCGAGUAGUC
rnacentral:rRNA from 1 species